rnacentral:lncRNA from 1 species
AUGGAGGGACCGGGGGGGGAGCCCCCGGGCACCGCCGCUCACCGAGGGUCCCGCGGGCUCCGGGAGCCUCCUCCGAGCGGGCUCCGGCGCAAGCGGCUGCCCAGACCGGGCUCCGGGACCCUCCGGUGGGGCUUUGCCGUGGGGUUCAGCGGGGCUCCGGGACCCUCGGACGGGGAUCUGCUUGCCGGGCUCCGGGACCCUCCGGCGGGGCUCCGCUGCGGGGCUCAGCCGGGCUCCGGGAACUCCCGACGGGACUUUGCGGUGGGAUUCAGCCGGGCUGCGGGACCUUCUGACGGAGCUCUGCGGUGGCGUUCAGCGGGGCUCGGGGACGCUCCGACCGGGAUCCGCUGCGGGGCUCAGCCGGGCUCCGGGACGCUCCGAUGGGACUUUGCGGGGAGGUUCAGCGGCGUCCGAGAUGGGGCUCUGCUGAGGGUUCCGGGACCCUCCGGGAUCAGACCCACCGGGGCUCUGCUGCGGGGCUCAGCCGGGCUCCGGUGCUCGCCUCCGACGGGACUUGGCGGUGCGGUUCAGCCGGGCUGCGGCACGGGGCUCCGGGACCCCCAGCCGGGGCUCCGCUGCCGGGCAGCCACUUCUCUGGGUCGGGGCUCGGCUCCGCUCCGCCGCUGGGCUCCGGGACCCUCCUCCGUCCGCCACGGCUCUGCGCUCGGGCCGGGCGGGCUCCGCCGCUGCCUGCGGCCGGUUCCCAAUGGCGAGGAGCGGGCAGCGCCCUGCCCGCCCCUUCCUGCCUCCCCUGGCACCUGCCCCGGCCCCACCUCCCCGGGCUCCGAGCCUUCGCCUGCCUCCUCCUCCUCCUCCCGCCGGGACACGGCGCCCUGGGGGCGGGGGCCGCUCCCCUGCCCGCCCCUGCCCGCGACCGGCGCCGCCGCCGCCGGCAGCUCAAUGGAGCUCGCCGCUUUUUAUACGGGGAAAACGAGGUACAGCCCCUCCUGCCGAGGCGAGGCUAAGCUCUCCCAGCCUAUCGGCAGCCCCAGAGCCCGCUUGGAUUUUUACAUCCCCAUGGAAACGCCCCCGGGGCAGCUGCCAAUCUCCGGAGGUGGGGAAUGCUGCGGGUACCCCCCUGGAAUGUCUCGGCCCCCGCAUCACAACGUGGGGCUUCAUCUCCCACCCUCCGCCCUGAAAUGAGCACGGAAUGGGGAGAAACAUCCUAGGAAUCCUGAUUUCCUGCUCCCCAAAAAGGGGAAAUAUCCGAAAAGGGGUUACUGAGCCUAAAUCAUGUUUGGUGCCAACUCGCUGAGGGAUCACAGCAUCGGAAUGCAGCCCCUUCCCCACCUCAGACACAGCCCAGAAUCCUUCCCGGAGCACUUCUAUCCUUGCAGAAAGUCAAAUAAAGAUAAUUUUGGGGAUUAU